UACGUAGGGUGCGAGCGUUGUCCGGAAUUAUUGGGCGUAAAGGGCUCGUAGGUGGUUUGUCGCGUCGGGAGUGAAAACGCCGUGCUUAACACGGCGCUUGCUUUCGAUACGGGCAGACUAGAGGUAUGCAGGGGAGAACGGAAUUCCUGGUGUAGCGGUGAAAUGCGCAGAUAUCAGGAGGAACACCGGUGGCGAAGGCGGUUCUCUGGGCAUUACCUGACGCUGAGGAGCGAAAGUGUGGGGAGCGAACAGG
rnacentral:rRNA from 1 species